rnacentral:lncRNA from 1 species
AUGCCUCCUGCAACAGCUAGGAAAGCUAUCUCAGUUUAUCUUGAUUGGCGAGAGGGUGUUCCUCACCCAAAUAUUACUCGUGUGCUUUUCUAGCUUUCCUAGGCUUGCCCCUGAUCAUUGUGGAUCAUGGUCGGAUAUUCAGAGGGAUCUUGUAUUCAAGAAUGUUCAAUUCUUUUGUAGAAGACCUGGCAACUUUCAUUGCAGGCAUCAUAAUGCCUGUAUUAUUCUGGACAACGUAUUCUCAUCGCCUUUUAGGAGUCUAGUGACUAGAUUGACCAGACUUUGGGCCAACC